UACGAAGGGGGCUAGCGUUGCUCGGAAUCACUGGGCGUAAAGGGCGCGUAGGCGGAUCUUUAAGUCAGGGGUGAAAUCCUGGAGCUCAACUCCAGAACUGCCUUUGAUACUGAGGAUCUUGAGUUCGGGAGAGGUGAGUGGAACUGCGAGUGUAGAGGUGAAAUUCGUAGAUAUUCGCAAGAACACCAGUGGCGAAGGCGGCUCACUGGCCCGAUACUGACGCUGAGGAGCGAAAGCGUGGGGAGCGAACAGG
rnacentral:rRNA from 1 species